UGAGCCUCUCUGGAGAUAUAUGUGGGA
rnacentral:piRNA from 1 species